rnacentral:rRNA from 1 species
UACGAAGGGGGCUAGCGUUGUUCGGAAUUACUGGGCGUAAAGCGCACGUAGGCGGAUCGAUCAGUCAGGGGUGAAAUCCCAGAGCUCAACUCUGGAACUGCCUUUGAUACUGUCGGUCUAGAGUAUGGAAGAGGUGAGUGGAAUUCCGAGUGUAGAGGUGAAAUUCGUAGAUAUUCGGAAGAACACCAGUGGCGAAGGCGGCUCACUGGACCGGUAUUGACGCUGAGGUGCGAAAAGCGUGGGGAGCAAACAGG